GACGAACCGAGCGAACGUUAUUCGGAAUCACUGGGCUUAAAGGGCGCGUAGGCGGGUUGCCAAGUUCGGGGUGAAAUCCUCCAGCUCAACUGGAGAACUGCCUCGAAUACUGGUGAUCUCGAGGAAGGUAGGGGCAUGCGGAACUGUGGGUGGAGCGGUGAAAUGCGUUGAUAUCCAUAGGAACUCCGGUGGCGAAGGCGGCAUGCUGGACCUUUUCUGACGCUGAGGCGCGACAGCCAGGGGAGCAAACGGG
rnacentral:rRNA from 1 species